rnacentral:rRNA from 1 species
CCUACGGGAGGCAGCAGUGGGGAAUAUUGCGCAAUGGGCGAAAGCCUGACGCAGCGACGCCGCGUGAGCGAUGAAGUAUUUCGGUAUGUAAAGCUCUAUCAGCAGGGAAGAAAAUGACGGUACCUGACUAAGAAGCCCCGGCUAACUACGUGCCAGCAGCCGCGGUAAUACGUAGGGGGCAAGCGUUAUCCGGAUUUACUGGGCGUAAAGGGAGCGUAGACGGGGAUGCAAGCCAGAUGUGAAAGCCCGGGGCUCAACCCCGGGACUGCAUUUGGAACUGUGUGGCUGGAGUGUCGGAGAGGCAGGCGGAAUUCCUGGUGUAGCGGUGAAAUGCGUAGAUAUUAGGAGGAACACCAGUGGCGAAGGCGGCCUACUGGACGAUGACUGACGUUGAGGCUCGAAAGCGUGGGGAGCAAACAGGAUUAGAUACCCCUGUAGUC